rnacentral:rRNA from 1 species
AGCAGCCGCGGUAAUUCCAGCUCCAAUAGCGUAUAUUAAAGUUGUUGCAGUUAAAAAGCUCGUAGUUGAAUUUCGGGAUUAGUAGUCUGGUCGUGCCACUGGUAUGUACUGGUCUUACUGAUUUCUCCUUCUUGAAGAACCGUAAUGUCAUUAAUUUGGUGUUGCGGGGAAUCUGGACUGUUACUUUGAAAAAAUUAGAGUGUUUAAAGCAGGCUAACGCUUGAAUACAUUAGCAUGGAAUAAUGAAAUAGGACGUUCGAUCCUAUUUUGUUGGUUUCUAGGAUUGACGUAAUGAUUAAUAGGGAUAGUUGGGGGCAUUAGUAUUCAAUUGUCAGAGGUGAAAUUCUUGGAUUUAUUGAAGACUAACUACUGCGAAAGCAUUUGCCAAGGAUGUUUUCAUUAAUCAAGAACGAAAGUUAGGGGAUCGAAGACGAUCAGAUACCGUCGUAGUCUUAACCAUAAACUAUGCCGACUAGGGAUCGGAUGAUGUUAAUUUUAUAAUGACUCAUUCGGCGCCUUA